rnacentral:rRNA from 1 species
GACGAACGCUGGCGGCGUGCUUAACACAUGCAAGUCGAACGGAAAGGCCCUGCUUUUGUGUGGUGCUCGAGUGGCGAACGGGUGAGUAACACGUGAGUAACCUGCCCUUGACUUUGGGAUAACUUCAGGAAACUGGGGCUAAUACCGGAUAGGAGCUCCUGCUGCAUGGUGGGGGUUGGAAAGUUUCGGCGGUUGGGGAUGGACUCGCGGCUUAUCAGCUUGUUGGUGGGGUAGUGGCUUACCAAGGCUUUGACGGGUAGCCGGCCUGAGAGGGUGACCGGCCACAUUGGGACUGAGAUACGGCCCAGACUCCUACGGGAGGCAGCAGUGGGGAAUAUUGCACAAUGGGCGGAAGCCUGAUGCAGCAACGCCGCGUGCGGGAUGACGGCCUUCGGGUUGUAAACCGCUUUCGCAUGUGACGAAGCGUGAGUGACGGUAAUGGGUAAAGAAGCACCGGCUAACUACGUG